GGGUGAUUAGCUCAGCUGGGAGAGCACCUCCCUUACAAGGAGGGGGU
rnacentral:tRNA from 1 species